UUGAAGUGUUUCCCCUUCUUGUGUGGCUGUACAAUUUAACCUUUAAAGACAGGUAGUGAUCUGUGACCUUCCUUGUGUCUGUUUUGCCUCCCAGAGGGAAAGCUGCAAGUGAUACACAUGUGCCCUGAGGAAGCAACAAGACAGGAGGAAAUAGUCAUUGAGGAACUCUACAUCCCAAGAAGGAUCUCGGGCAUACACUUUAUUUGGAGAGAGGGGUUGUUCAAGACACACUUUCUAAAGCUGGUAAAGCAUUCAAAUGGGGUCUCCCUGAGAGAUUAAUCUCUCAGCACAGAUCACUCUGGGGCAGUAAGAAGGCAACAGCACAACAGGACACUAAACAUGGAACUCACUUGAACAUGGCAAUGAGGAGAUUGAGGAGGAGAAUAUUGGUGAAGAGAAGAUACAGGCAGAGCAAGAUGACCGUCAGC